rnacentral:misc_RNA from 1 species
AAGACUAUAGACCUGCGGAGUACCUGCGGAGGGAUCAUUCACAAUAAGUGUUUUAUGGCACUUUAAUUCCAUAUCCACCUUGUGUGCAACGUAGUUCGUUUUUCGAACAAAACAUCAACAUUUUAAUUAUCAACAGAUCGUCUGAAGUAUUAUAUGAAUAAAUCAAUUCAAAAUACAACUUUUAGCAACGGAUCUCU